CCUACGGGGUGCUGCAGUGGGGAAUAUUGGACAAUGGGCGAAAGCCUGAUCCAGCCAUGCCGCGUGUGUGAAGAAGGCCUUCGGGUUGUAAAGCACUUUCAGUGGGGAAGAAAGCCUUGGGGCUAAUACCCUCGAGGAAGGACAUCACCCACAGAAGAAGCACCGGCUAACUCCGUGCCAGCAGCCGCGGUAAUACGGAGGGUGCGAGCGUUAAUCGGAAUUACUGGGCGUAAAGCGCGCGUAGGCGGUCUGAUAAGCCGGUUGUGAAAGCCCCGGGCUCAACCUGGGAACGGCAUCCAGAACUGUCAGGCUAGAGUGCAGGAGAGGAAGGUAGAAUUCCCGGUGUAGCGGUGAAAUGCGUAGAGAUCGGGAGGAAUACCAGUGGCGAAGGCGGCCUUCUGGACUGACACUGACGCUGAGGUGCGAAAGCGUGGGUAGCAAACAGGAUUAGAUACCCUAGUAGUC
rnacentral:rRNA from 1 species